AGCCUUGAGGUGUUCUUACAUGCAGGAUUGCAAAUCCUGAGUAGCAGAUUGACGUCUGCCGGGGCUU
rnacentral:tRNA from 1 species